UGUUCUGUGGCAUAGUUGGUUAAAGCACCGGUCUAGCGAAUACGGAGUCGUGGGUUCGAAUCCCACCAGAACGC
rnacentral:tRNA from 1 species